rnacentral:rRNA from 1 species
GAUGAACGCUGGCGGCGUGCCUAAUACAUGCAAGCUGAGCGAACGGACGAGAAGCUUGCUUCUCUGAUGUUAGCGGCGGACGGGUGAGUAACACGUGGAUAACCUACCUAUAAGACUGGGAUAACUUCGGGAAACCGGAGCUAAUACCGGAUGAUAUUUUGAACCGCAUGGUUCAAAAGUGAAAGACGGUCUUGCUGUCACUUAUAGAUGGAUCCGCGCUGUAUUAGCUAGUUGGUAAGGUAACGGCUUACCAAGGCAACGAUGCAUAGCCGACCUGAGAGGGUGAUCGGCCACACUGGAACUGAGACACGGUCCAGACUCCUACGGGAGGCAGCAGUAGGGAAUCUUCCGCAAUGGGCGAAAGCCUGACGGAGCAACGCCGCGUGAGUGAUGAAGGUCUUCGGAUCGUAAAACUCUGUUAUUAGGGAAGAACAUAUGUGUAAGUAACUGUGCACAUCUUGACGGUACCUAAUCAGAAAGCCACGGCUAACUACGUG